rnacentral:rRNA from 1 species
GACGCACGCUGGCGGCGUGCCUAAUACAUGCAAGUAGGACGCAGUUGCGAACGGGUGAGUAACGCGUAGGUAACUACCUAUUAGAGGGGGAUAACUAUAGAAAACGAUAGCUAAUACCGCAUACUAGUAGAUGGACCUGCGUUGUAUUAGCUCGUAGUUAGGGUACUGGCCUACUUAGGCAACGAUACAUCGCCGAGCGGGGAGGGUGAUCGGUCACACUGUGACUGAGACAAGGCCCAGACCCCUACGGGAGGCAGCAGUAGGGAAUCUUCGGAAAUGGGGGUAACCCUGACCGAGCAACGCCGCGUGAGUGAAGAAGGUUUUCGGAUCGUAAAGCUCUGUUGUUAAGGAAGCGGUACUUAACCAGAAAGGGACGGCUAACUACGUGCCAGCAGCCGCGGUAAUUC